GGCCAGUGGGACUCCAGAGUCAAGAUUCUGCUCCCAAAUCUCAGGGCUUCCCACUGCUGGAGGAGUCUCGCUGCCGCCUGGCAGGUGUGGGAAGCCUGGGCACUCGGAAUGGGCAUCUGGGCAUCACAUCUACCAGGAGCCUGGGGACCUCAACAGUCUGCGAGAGGUGGCAGGAGCCUGGACCCUGCAUAUGAGGGACAGUGGUCCCAGAUUCAGGAGGAACUAUAGUGGGCAGCUGUCCAUUUAUGAAGAGAUGGAUAUUAAUGAACAUUUGUAAAUCAAAUCACUGCCUCACAGCCCCCCCUCAAAAGCAGCCCAGCAGGAUGGGGGUGCCCUGGAGCUGCCCCAGCCCUUCCUCCUGUGUUGCCUCCUGGCUUUUCCUGGUGUCCAGGCCGCCUGUAUAUAGAAGUUCUCUUCAUAAGUACAGACAUCCAGGGUGUCAUCAACCUCUGCUUCCACUGAAAGCCCCUCCUGAACAGCGGAGGAGUCCCCCUGAAGGUUAUGGUAGGAGUGUGGGUCUCUCCUCUCCUGAGACGGUCCCCUUGCCAUUUAGAACAGUUCGCUUAGGACUUGGGCAGAUGACUCCUCUGUUGGUGAUCUGGCUCCUUUCUUUAUCCCCCACCCAAUUAGAACAUUCCCAAGGGCAAGGACUGGCUUCUCCACCAGACAGAGCCCUGGGCUGGGGCACAGGAAGGAGUGGGGUAAGGGCUGAGCCACGCAGUCAGCCCAGGAGAUUUCUAUCACUCUAGAACAUUAGUUUGGCCUGAGGAGAAUCAGUUUCUCAAAGUAUUCUGGUCCCCAGGAGCUGGGUGGUGGCCACAGGACUCAAUUCCUGAUCACUCAAUUCCUGAUCAGAUAGCCUGGUCCCCUGAAAUGGGGCCAGGAUAGGGCUUAGGUCUGGUGCCUCCCUGGGCUUGGCCCC
rnacentral:lncRNA from 1 species